AGGAGGAGGAGGAGGAGGAGGAAUGGGAGAAGGAGGAGGAAAAGGAGAAGGAAGAGACAGAGGAAGAGGAAGAAGAGGAGGAGGAGGAGGAAGAAUGGGAGAAGGAGGAGGAAUAGGAGAAGGAAGAGACAGAGGAAGAGGAAGAAGAGGAGGAGGAGGAGAUGGAGGAGGAGGAAGAGGAGGAGAAGGAAGAGACAGAGGAAGAGGAAGAAGAGGAGGAAGAGGAGGAUGAGAUGGAGGAGGAGGAAGAGGAGGAGAAGGAAGAGACAGAAGAAGAGGAAGAGGAAGAAGAAGAAGAAGAAGAGGAGGAGGAGAUGGAGGAGGAGGAAGAGGAGGAGAAGGAAGAGACAGAAGAAGAGGAAGAGGAAGAAGAGGAAGAAGAGGAGGAGGAGAUGGAGGAGGAGGAAGAGGAGAAGGGGGAGAAGGUAAAGGAGGAGGAGGAGAAGAGGGAAGAGACACAGGAAGAGGAUGAGGAAGAAGAGGAGGAGGAGGAAGAGGAGGAGGAGGAGAAAGAGGAGGAGGAGGAGGAGAAAGAAGAAGACGAGGAGGAAGCGGAGGAAGGAGUAAGUAAAAGAAAAAGAAAAAAAAGGGAGAAUAAAAAAAAAGUAAAGAAAACGGAAAAGAGGGAUGAAAACAAGGAAGAAAAACAAGAAAACGAAAAAGAAGAAAAAGAGGAGGGAAGGAGGAAAAGAAGGAGGAGGAGGAGGAAGAAGAAGAAGUAGAAGAAACAAACCACUACACCAAUCAAGCCAAACACAGAACAAACAAACAAUCACACAGAACAAAAACAAAGAGGUCAUUCCCAAACCAAACACUCCAAUCUGUAUUCUGUUCCUUUUAUUGCACCUUUGUUAAGUUCGCCUCUUCUGACGGAGGUGUACAUGAUGGCCCGGUUAGUGCCUGCAGGUGGUUCAGUGCCCCCUACACGCCAGGAGCCUCGUGGGGGUGUUUACUUCACACUCCCCACACGAGCCUGGCUUUACUGGUCCCCUUUUGGUCUGGGUUCGGUUCCCUGCAACGUUUUGGCAGGGAAAGGGUUGGAAGUACAGGUAAUUCUGACAGUGGUACAGGUAAGGUUACACGUGGUUUUAACAGUGACUGAGUUUAAGGGUUUUGAGUACACGUAUUUUGACAGGGGUGGAGGUUUGAAAAGGUGGAUUGUCACGUGGUUUUAACAGUGACUGAGUUUAAGGGUUUUGAGUACACAUAUUUUGACAGGGGUGGAGGUUUGAAAAGGUGGAUUGUCACGUGGUUUUAACAGUGACCGAGUUUAAGGGUUUUGAGUACACGUAUUUUGACAGGGGUAAAAGUUAGAAAAGGUUGAUUGUCACGUAGUUUUACAGUGACGAGGUUUGAGGUUUGGAGUUCACGUGUUUUGAUGGGGAUGAUGGUACACAGUUUGACGUUGCUGUACACUGACAAAAAGUUUAGUUACACAUAUUUCAACAACAGUGCGAGAUACAAAGUUUCACGCUAAUAACAACUGGAAAAUGUUUACAGUGUUCAUGAUUGUGGGAUGUUGCAAAGUUCAUACUGAUUAUGCAUUGUUCACCUGUUCUGGACAGUGAAAAGUUUUAGGUCUCUACAACUUUACACUUAAAAUCUACAAUACGCUUUUGGUGGUUUAACAGAGAACCAAAAAAAGUCUACCUUCGUGUGAUCUGACAAAAAAUAUUACAGGUUUCACAGGCAGACUACACAACAGAUAAAAAGAAAUAACAAAACAAAAAUAACAGGUAAGGAAUAAUAAUGAUGCAUAGUAAAGUUGAGGUGAUUUUCAGGUAAGAAACGCCACCUGUCGGCUGCAGUGAUCAACAUUAGGCAAUAUUGGUCAACAUUUGGGGAGGACUCACUUUCCCGAGACGAGGAGUGAGUGCAGAGGUGGACUGCCGAGCUCUCAUGUAUCGUAGGCCAAGACUUAUACCGAUAAAUAAUAUAGAAUAACCAUGGACACAAGCUCUUACUCUUACUACCCGACAAUAAUUGCACUGAGAAUGUGAUUGUGACGGCCGGGCUGGGCUGGCGCGAGGACAGGUGAGGCGGGGCAGGUGUGGGUAGGUGAUAUACUAACAACACCUUUAGCACCAAACAACCCCCAGCAGUGAUUAACCACGUGCGUGAGAACAGGAAAACUACCUCAUAAAUGAAGUAAUGAUAGAAACAAUAGCUUUUUAACACCAAUCCGUCCAUAGGUGAAGAAUUAGAGAAGUGGAUGCAUGAAAUUUCGAAACGUAGUCAGUCACUUGAAAGGAGAAAUAAGCCGCCAGUCCUGCCUUUCAUCACGGGUGCUUCAGGCCUUGCUCGCGACUCCCAGCACCCUCAGCUUCCUUCGCCUCCCAGCCCGCCAGAAUCACCGCCGAAGAGUUAGCAACACAGCCCCGAGGGCCUACAAGCCUCAUGCCCGGGACGGAGGGACGGAGCGGCGGGGACUGAUCGUGGAGGAGGCGGCGUCGUGCAGGGUGGAGACACUACCCCCACCCACGGACACACCCUCUUCACCACACCCUCACACACACCCUCCCUCUUCCCGCUUCGACACGCCACUAACUCGCUGCCUCAAGAUUAAGAAUAUUUGUACUGGACUAUCACAAGCACAUACAUACGAACGCUAGGCGGCGAGUAUAGAAGGAUAUAUACAGGACCCUAUAAUGACUAUACGGCGUGGCGGCAGCGUCUUACAUCACCGCUGCGCCACGCAAAGAUCCACUAUGAGAACCGACCGAGCAAACGAUGCACCGCCCUGGGAAAUGCGACUUGACUGUUUGUCGGGGAAUUUGUAGCCCGAAGGAAGAGGUGGACGGGAAGAGCAGGAAGAGAAAGAAGUUAUAUAAAGAUUUGCGGAACGAGGUGAAAUAAUGAGGGAUUGGGUUUUGUAAAGGUUGGGAAAAAUGUUAGAUUUAAAAAGGAAUAAGUUAGGAAAAGGUUUACAGAAAUAGGUGACGUUGAAGAGAAGAGAAAAGGAAGACAUAUUGAAGGGAUAUAGGCUACGAGUUUAAAAAAUAAGAUAGUUUGCAUUGUUCUGAAGUCUGUGUAAUUAACGAGACUUGAGGAUUGAGUUUACUUCAUAAGAGGUGACACUGAAUGUGUUGCAGAAAUAAAUAUCCGGCCUUUUGGAUGGGGUUGCAUUGAUUAAAAAAAGGUGAUAUAGUUUAAAAUAUGACUGAAAUCUUGCAGACUCAGCAUAUGUUAUGAAAAGUGUACUUCAAGACAUGACAGCCUUGAUGGAGGAUUAAGAGACGAAAGACACUCAUAUAACUGAGUCUAGUAAGGACUGACAGGUAAGUUAGAGUUUGCGAAUGUAUCGUGACGGUUGCAAGAGUUUGGUGACAAUUGCAAUAGUUUGAAGUUACUUUCCGAUUGUGUACCAGAAGUGUACGAGAGUCUGAUCAGGCGAACGAAAGUCUACUGACAAUUACAAUAGUCUAUCGUGCUUUUAUGGUGACAGAAUCGGUUUUAAGAUAGUCUGGUGAAAUUUUCGAUAGUGUAAUGAGACUUCCCGAUGUUGUACGAGUCUGAUGAGGUGUAUAAUAAUCUAGCGGAUAUGUACGAUACUCUAGUGACGUUUGGUGUGAUGCUCUUGGUGAUCAAAGGAGAUUCUGACUCUGACAAGGAGGACCAAUACCGGGAAGGGAGAUUAGCGUCCUCAUGUGUGGUGUUGAGGUGGACUGGGACUGGAAGGAGGAGGAGGAGGAGGAGGAGGAGAAGGAGAACGACGAGAAGGUUGGAAGACGAGAAUGAGGAGUAGGAGAAGAAGGAUGAGGAAGAGGAGGAAAAGGAAGAGAAAGGGGGA